rnacentral:lncRNA from 1 species
AAAAAUCAAGACAAUACGAGAAGCAGAAGAAGAUAAAGAAGAACAAAAAGAAGGAAAAAAUAAGAUACCGGAAGAUGAUGAUGAGAAAGAUGAAGAAAAAAAGAAUUCUCCAAAAGAAAAAGUAUUUGUAGAGGAAGAAAAAGAAAAUAUAACAGUGAAUAUAGAUGAUUUUUGUAGGAAAGUUUUUGAUAACAUCAACAACAUUCUAGUGGAAUACAAGACAAUUGAGGGUUUGCAAAAUAGUAGAUAGUUUUUAUAUGGGUG